GUCUACGGCCAUGCCACCCUGAACAAGCCCAAUGUCUGAUCUCGGAAGCUAAGCAGGGUUGGGCCUGGUUAGUACUUGAAUGAGAGACCACCUGGGAAGACCAGGUGCUGUAGGCA
rnacentral:rRNA from 1 species